rnacentral:rRNA from 1 species
UACAGAGGGGGCAAGCGUUGUUCGGAAUUACUGGGCGUAAAGGGCGCGUAGGCGGCCUUCUAAGUCGAACGUGAAAUCCCCGGGCUCAACCCGGGAACUGCGUCCGAUACUGGAAGGCUUGAAUCCGGGAGAGGGAUGCGGAAUUCCAGGUGUAGCGGUGAAAUGCGUAGAUAUCGGGAGGAACACCUGUGGCGAAAGCGGCGCACUGGACCACAACUGACGCUGAGGCGCGAAAGCUAGGGGAGCAAACAGG